UACGUAGGGUCCGAGCGUUGUCCGGAGUUACUGGGCGUAAAGCGCACGUAGGCGGCCAAGUCAGUCAGGUGUGAAAUACCUCGGCUCAACCGAGGAACUGCGCCUGAUACUGCUUGGCUUGAGGUCCGGAGGGAAGAGUGGAAUUCCCGGUGGAGCGGUGAAAUGCGUAGAGAUCGGGAAGAACGCCGGCGGCGAAAGCGACUCUCUGGUCGGAAUCUGACGCUGAGGUGCGAAAGCUAGGGGAGCAAACGGG
rnacentral:rRNA from 1 species